rnacentral:rRNA from 1 species
AUUGAACGCUGGCGGCAGGCCUAACACAUGCAAGUCGAACGGUAACAGGAAGAAGCUUGCUUCUUUGCUGACGAGUGGCGGACGGGUGAGUAAUGUCUGGGAAACUGCCUGAUGGAGGGGGAUAACUACUGGAAACGGUAGCUAAUACCGCAUAACGUCGCAAGACCAAAGAUGGGGACCUUCGGGCCUCUUUCCAUCGGAUGUUCCCAGAUGGGAUUAGCUAGUAGGUGGGGUAACGGCUCACCUAGGCGACGAUCCCUAGCUGGUCUGAGAGGAUGACCAGCCACACUGGAACUGAGACACGGUCCAGACUCCUACGGGAGGCAGCAGUGGGGAAUAUUGCACAAUGGGCGAAAGCCUGAUGCAGCCAUGCCGCGUGUAUGAAGAAGGCCUUCGGGUUGUAAAGUACUUUCAGCGGGGAGGAAGGGAGUAAAGUUAAUACCUGUGCUCAUUGACGUUACCCGCAGAAGAAGCACCGGCUAACUCCGUG